UACGGGGGGGGCAAGCGUUGUUCGGAAUUACUGGGCGUAAAGGGCUCGUAGGCGGCCAACUAAGUCGGACGUGAAAUCCCUCGGCUUAACCGGGGGAACUGCGUCCGAUACUGGAUGGCUUGAGUUUGGGAGAGGGAUGCGGAAUUCCAGGUGUAGCGGUGAAAUGCGUAGAUAUCUGGAGGAACACCGGUGGCGAAGGCGGCAUCCUGGACCAACACUGACGCUGAUGAGCGAAAGCCAGGGGAGCAAACGGG
rnacentral:rRNA from 1 species